AUUGAACGCUGGCGGCAUGCUUUACACAUGCAAGUCGAACGGUAACAGGCCGCAAGGUGCUGACGAGUGGCAAACGGGUGAGUAAUGCAUCGGAACGUGCCCAGUCGUGGGGGAUAACUACUCGAAAGAGUAGCUAAUACCGCAUACGAUCUAUGGAUGAAAGCGGGGGACCGUAAGGCCUCGCGCGAUUGGAGCGGCCGAUGUGAGAUUAGGUAGUUGGUGGGGUACAGGCUCACCAAGCCAACGAUCUGUAGCUGGUCUGAGAGGACAACCAGCCACACUGGGACUGAGACACGGCCCAGACUCCUACGGGAGGCAGCAGUGGGGAAUUUUGGACAAUGGGCGCAAGCCCGAUCCAGCAAUGCCGCGUGCAGGAAGAAGGCCUUCGGGUUGUAAACUGCUUUUGUACGGAACGAAACGGCUCUGGUUAAUACCCGGGGCUAAUGACGGUACCGUAAGAAUAAGCACCGGCUAACUACGUG
rnacentral:rRNA from 1 species